rnacentral:rRNA from 1 species
CCUACGGGAGGCAGCAGUGAGGAAUAUUUGUCAAUGGCCGUAAGGCUGAACCAGCCAAGUCGCGUGAAGGAAGAAGGAUCUAUGGUUUGUAAACUUCUUUUAUGGGGGAAUAAAGGUAUCCACGUGUGGAUAUUUGCAUGUACCCUAUGAAUAAGCAUCGGCUAACUCCGUUCCAGCAGCCGCGUUAAUACGGAGGAGGCGAGCGUUAUCCGGAUUUAUUGGGUUUAAAGGGUGCGUAGGUUGUUUUUUAAGUCAGCGGUGAAAGUUUGUGGCUCAACCAUAAAAUUGCCGUUGAAACUGGGAGACUUGAGUGUGUUUGAGGUAGGCGGAAUGCGUGGUGUAGCGGUGAAAUGCAUAGAGAUCACGCAGAACUCCGAUUGCGAAGGCAGCUUACUAGGCCAUAACUGACACUGAAGCACGAAAGCGAGGGGAUCAAAAAGGAUUAGAUACCCGUGUAGUC